CCAAAUUUGGUUAAUAAGUAGCUGAAACUACAAUAAGUAACUGAAGUAAAAUGGGCCAAAAGCUCAUAAGAAUCGAGUGAGUUAUGGCUGUUUGAAAUGAAGGCACGUGCAUGGAAUGCAAUUUCUGGCUUUGUGGGUUUAGCUAGGCCUAAAGUGGCCCACACAUCGCGAAUGGAGCCCAAAUUUUGUGUGAAAUCUCGUAAAAAAAGGAUAGGAAGAUGUAUGGCGUCUAGAUAAGGAUUGAAGACUCUAGAAUAACUUAAAGACUAAGUAAAGGAUGAGAUAAGGAUAAGAAUGAAACUUGAGGAUGUUUAAAUGGCCAAUCACAUUUUACCACCUCUCCUACAUUUAUCAACUUGCAUGAACAUCCUUCCCCUAUAAUAUGGGUGUGGGAAGAAGGAAAAAGCAUUCUAGAGUUGAGAGAGUAAGAUUAGAGAGAGAAAGAGAAAAAUAAAAAGAGAGCAAAUGGGAAGAAACUCAAUAAAAGUGAGGGAAGUUGAUGGAAUUCAAGAGUUCCUCCUUGAGGAAAGUCUAUUGAAUUAUGAGAGAUAGAUAGAGAGAGAAAAAGGAAGAAGGAAAGAAAAAAAAAGAAAGAAGGGAAAAGGAAAGUGAAAGCUCACAGCCAACCAAGGGAGAACCCACGGGCUUAAGGUGAGUUUUCUCUUUCAUUUUAAUUUUAUUUCUCUUGAAACUUUGAGGAUGAUUUUAAGUGGCAUGUGUAGUAUUUAUGUGGUUAGAUAUUUCUCACAAACAGCUUAGAACUCUACUAGAUUUUUAAUAGUAAAAGCUUAGAAAUUAAGUUGAGACUUUGUUGGAGUU
rnacentral:lncRNA from 1 species